UAGAUUGAAGCCAGUCAUUGGAUGUUUAGCUGUUAACUGAAGUUUCGUAGGUUUAAAUCCUAUCAAUCUAG
rfam:Cricetulus griseus cell line CHO-K1, whole genome shotgun sequence.